AAAAGAGUAUGAAAUUUAGGUAGUAUUGGAUGUCUUAAAACUUAAAAAUUUUGGCGGUGUUUUAAUCUUAUCAGAGGAAUCUGUUUUGUAAUCGAUAAUACACGACAUAUCUUGCUUGAGUUUGUGGUUUGUAUAUCGUUGUGAUAAUGAUGUUUUAUAACUAUUGUUGGGGGUAAUUCUAUUUUUAAUAUCAGAUCAAGGUUCAGCUUAUGCUUAAGAGUAAAAUGGAUUACAAUAUAGAGAUAUAUUUACGGAGUUUAUUUUUAAAUGGCAGAUGAAGGGGGAUUUGAAAGUAUUUUUGUAAUAAUAUGUUGAAUUGAAUUAGCUCUAAAACAUGC
rnacentral:rRNA from 1 species